GGUUUCUGGCACUCGAUCCACAAUGGCAGCUCACCUGGAUAAUUCUCAGGAUAUCGGAAUUCAUGCUAGGCACGUCAGCAAUGUGUCUGCAGUGGAUAGUGAAUUAAAUGAUGACUAUGGGAGUCCAAUUUGGAAGAAUAGAGUAGAGAGUUGGAAGGAUAAAAA